rnacentral:rRNA from 1 species
ACCCGCUGAACUUAAGCAUAUCAAUAAGCGGAGGAAAAGAAACCAACAGGGAUUGCCCUAGUAACGGCGAGUGAAGCGGCAAAAGCUCAGAUUUGGAAUCUGGCGCCAUUGUGGCGUCCGAGUUGUAGUCUGAAGAGGGGAAUUCAAGUGUAGCUUUGGCUUAAGUUCCUUGAAACAGGACGUCAUAGAGGGUGAGAACCCCGUUAAUGGCCUUUGUCUUAUGCUUAUGUGAAUCUCCUUCAAUGAGUCAAGUUGUUUGGGAAUGCAGCUCUAAAUGGGUGGUAAAUUCCAUCUAAAGCUAAAUACUGGCAAGAGACCGAUAGCGCACAAGUAGAGUGAUCGAAAGAUGAAAAGAACUCUGAACAGAGAGUUAAAUAGUACGUGAAAUUGUUGAAAGGGAAGCACUUGUAACCAGACACGCUUGCAGCUGAUCAAUUCUGAUUUUUGAGGAUGCACUCAGUUGUUAGCGAGCCAACAUCAGUCAUGGUGACAGGAAAAAGACCAAGGAAAGGUAGCUCCUUUCGGGGAGUGUUAUAGUCCUGGGUGUAAUGCUGCCUAUUAUGAUUGAGGACCGCGCUUUGGCGAGGAUGUUGGCAUAAUGGUUUUAAGUGACCCGUCUUGAAACACGG